CCUACGGGAGGCAGCAGUGGGGAAUAUUGGACAAUGGGCGAAAGCCUGAUCCAGCAAUGCCGCGUGAGUGAUGAAGGCCUUAGGGUCGUAAAGCUCUUUUACCAGGGAUGAUAAUGACAGUACCUGGAGAAUAAGCUCCGGCUAACUCCGUGCCAGCAGCCGCGGUAAUACGGAGGGAGCUAGCGUUGUUCGGAAUUACUGGGCGUAAAGCGUGCGUAGGCGGUUAUUCAAGUCAGAGGUGAAAGCCCGGGGCUCAACCCCGGAACGGCCUUUGAAACUAGAUAACUAGAAUCUUGGAGAGGUCAGUGGAAUUCCGAGUGUAGAGGUGAAAUUCGUAGAUAUUCGGAAGAACACCAGUGGCGAAGGCGACUGACUGGACAAGUAUUGACGCUGAGGUACGAAAGCGUGGGGAGCAAACAGGAUUAGAUACCCUGGUAGUCCACGCCGUAAACGAUGAUAACUAGCUGUCCGGACACUUGGUGUUUGGGUGGCGCAGCUAACGCAUUAAGUUAUCCGCCUGGGGAGUACGGUCGCAAGAUUAAAACUCAAAAUGAAAUUGACG
rnacentral:rRNA from 1 species